AACUUUUAACAACGGAUCACUUGGCUCUCGCAUCGAUGAAGAACGCAGCGAAAUGCGAUAAGUAAUGUGAAUUGCAGGAUUCAGUGAAUCAUCGAAUCUUUGAACGCACCUUGCGCUCCUUGGUAUUCUGAGGAGCAUGCCUGUUUGAGUGUCAUGAAAUUCUCAACUGCUUUAGCUUUUGUGGUUGAAGUAAAGUUGGAUUUGGAGGAAUAAUUGCUGGCGUAACCUUUUAAGGUUGCUUGUUAGCUCCUCUUAAAUGGAUGAACUUUCCAGUAGUGUAAAAGUAACACCAAUGUGAUAAUUAUCUACGUUGGAUGAACUUGUACAAGGAAAGAUGAAUCUGUCUUGGACCCCCUUGACGAAACAAAUGACAAAUUUGACCUCAAAUCAGGUAGGACUACCAGCUGAACUUAAGAAUAUCAAUAAGAGGAGGCU
rnacentral:misc_RNA from 1 species